rnacentral:rRNA from 1 species
CAAGACCUUGCGCUUUUGGAGCGGCCGAUGUCUGAUUAGCUAGUUGGUGAGGUAAAGGCUUACCAAGGCGUCGAUCAGUAGCUGGUCUGAGAGGACGACCAGCCACACUGGGACUGAGACACGGCCCAGACUCCUACGGGAGGCAGCAGUGGGGAAUUUUGGACAAUGGGGGAAACCCUGAUCCAGCCAUGCCGCGUGAGUGAAGAAGGCCUUCGGGUUGUAAAGCUCUUUCAGCCGGAACGAAACGGUUACGGUUAAUACCCGUGACUACUGACGGUACCGGAAGAAGAAGCACCGGCUAACUACGUGCCAGCAGCCGCGGUAAUACGUUGGGUGCGAGCGUUAAUCGGAAUUACUGGGCGUAAAGCGUGCGCAGGCGGUUUUGUAAGUCAGAUGUGAAAUCCCCGGGCUUAACCUGGGAACU